rnacentral:rRNA from 1 species
UUGAACGCUGGCGGCAUGCUUUACACAUGCACGUCGAACGGUAACAGGCCUUCGGGUGCUGACGAGUGGCGAACGGGUGAGUAAUGCAUCGGAACGUACCCAGAGGUGGGGGAUAACGCAGCGAAAGCUGUGCUAAUACCGCAUGUGAUCUGAGGAUGAAAGCGGGGGACCGAGCAGCAAUGUUUGGCCUCGCGCCUUUGGAGCGGCCGAUGUCGGAUUAGCUAGUUGGUGGGGUAAAGGCCUACCAAGGCGACGAUCCGUAGCUGGUCUGAGAGGACGACCAGCCACACUGGGACUGAGACACGGCCCAGACUCCUACGGGAGGCAGCAGUGGGGAAUUUUGGACAAUGGGCGCAAGCCUGAUCCAGCAAUGCCGCGUGCGGGAAGAAGGCCUUCGGGUUGUAAACCGCUUUUGGCAGGAACGAAACGGUGUCCGCUAAUACCGGGCGCUAAUGACGGUACCUGCAGAAUAAGCACCGGCUAACUACGUG